AGAUACAGAAAAAGCUUGCCCUGAAGCUUUGCAGAUUUGAUUUUUGAAAGCUGGAGAGAUGAGGAUGGGAGAAUGAAGGAGCAGUAAGGUUUGCCCAAUUGAUGACACAUUUAUGUAUAAUUUUUCAUGCUUUGGAAAACAAUUAAAAAAAAUUGUUCCAAGAA